UAUUUCAUGUCCAUGUAUUUAGGACUUUUUGCCCUAUUUAUAGUAGCCUAAUUAAGUUCAUUUAAAAAAAGUCUCACAUUAUAAACUAACCAGAAUAAAUAUUCGGGUCUCAAAAUUCACAAAUUUUAAUGGGUUCUCUUUCCUCUUUUUUCUCUGUGAUAUCUCUUCUUCUUCUUCUCCUCUGCCUGUCCUUUCUUCUUCAUUUCAUCUUCUCUUCUUCUUUGCCAUUCUUCUAUUCUUCUCUCUCACCACCUUUCAUCUCCUCCACCACCCAUCUCUUCGACAAGAUUUAGUGUUUGAUAUUGUUAGUAAGGGUCGCCCAAAUCUAAAGUUGUUAUGAUAGAGCUUUAUUCGAGAUGGUGAAAAUUUAGUGGAGUUUGGUGGAUUUGAGGUGUUUGAAAGAGCUUUAAUGGUGGUGUCCCGAUGUAAAAUUUCAUAUGUUUGGAUCUGCGGUGAUGGAUGGUGUUUCAAAGAACAUAGAAAGUUGUUAGUGACCUCAAGGUGGAGUCGUGAUGGUUUUUCUAACCUUGGUAGCAUUUUCAAGCAAUUGUUAAUUGCUUGAUGAACUUGAAAUUUCAAUUGUGGAAUCACAUAUUUUGUCAUUAGUGUAUAAUCUAUGAAUACUUGAUGAAUAAUCGAUAUACUCAAUGAAUGAUCAAUAUAUAUUCACGGUAACUUCAAUGUAUAAUAUAUACACACUUAUUAUAUAUUAAUUAUCUAGAGUAUAUAUAUUUAAUUUUAUCUCGAACAUAAAUUGUAAAUUCAGUCUAUAAUAAAUGUAUUCAUGUAUUUCUUCUUUGGAAUUUUUCCUUAUUUUAGAUGUUGGAAGAGAUUUAUAUAUUGGAUUUGGGGUCUUUUUUUGGUUGUAGCAGUGAUGGAAAGAAAGGGACUGACGGUGAUGGGGCAGGGAUUUUUAUGGAUAAUUUCAUUGACUUAGGGCGGUUUUUUACAUUGAAAGUCAAUGGGUAUAGUGGAGAAGACACUCAAUGCAUUAUUUGGGGGUCAGCUAAAAGACUUUGACCGUUAUGAGGCGCUUUGGAAAUAGAAGACUCGUGUGGAGUAGUUCGUGGCUCCUGUUCUGCAUUUGAGAUUGUGUUCCAGAGAUUUCAUCCAGAUUACAUCUCUAGCUUGAAGCUAGUUUGCUUGAUCAGAUCCGAGGGAGAUGAUUUUAUGAAAAAGAGAUGAUUUGGUGCUAACAUGGAUGAAAAAUGAGCUUUAAAGUCCAAGUAGAAGUUCAAGACAUAGACAGGGAUCAAGUCUAGGACCCAAACACCAAACGUGCAUGAAAAAAAUGGAAGAAAAUGAAAGGCGCUGGGAAAAAUACACUGGCAAUACGCAUGAAAGUCGUUUGGAAAAAUGCACUAGCAUGAACCAUGUGCUGUGCCCUACCAGAUGGAAGUACAAAGUCCAACCUUGUCUAAGAAAUCAGACCUUUCUCAAAAUCUCCAGUGGCACGAUGUGCCACGCGUCGUGCCCCGCCUCACGCCAAUGCAAAAUUAGGGCAUGUUUGAGACUGCCUAAGCUCUCUAAAGACUAGACUUGAUGCAGCGUAGGCCACACCAUGUAAAAUGAGUUUUUUGCUUAGUCUGAGAUCUAUUUGAUUCAUUAAGGAAAUUUUGGUCCAAAGACAUUCUAGCACAGUAUAAAUACAUUGCAAGGAUGUUUCUGAAGAGACUUUUGGCCUACGAAGAUCAUUAUAAGGGUAGAGCACCAUGGAGCGAGGACUCAUCGAGUUUAUAUCUUUUUUCUUCUAUUUCUAGUGUCUGAGUGAUUUUUUAACUUGUGAUUGUGUCACAAACAUGAGUGACUAGUUCUCUCGUUUCUUAGGGUUGCGAGGUAUUCAUGAAUAUUGUAACUGAAGAUUUAA